AUGGCCUUGGCCUGGAGCCCCUGUGUCAACCUGCAUAGUGUGAAUGGGCUGUCCAGCUUCCUGUGCACCUAGCCACUCCUCCCCCUAGAUUUUCAGCAAAGCAUAAUUGGUAGUCCUGACAUCUGCCCAACACAAAAUGAUGGAAGACCAUUGCCUCAUGACUCAAAGAUGGGAUCGCCGGAUGUCUAGUAGGCUGUGAAAACAUUUGACUGUGACUUAGUCACCAUUUGGACCAGGUUUACAGUGGGGAAGUUCAAGAGUGAAUUGACUCAUCUCCGUUUCUAAUUCCAUCCAAUGUCCAGAUUCUGAAUAGAAUACUCCAUGCUAUCCAACCUGUGCUGAAGCUCCCUGGGAAUGCAGGUCUAUUCCAACAUCAGUUAAACCAUUUCAUUCAAAAUUUCUCUUGAUGAUUUGGAAGGCUGUUGAUCUCUUCUAUCUACCGUGCACUCUCCCCAUUUAGGUUUAUGACAGAAUAUGGUCAGAAGUUGUUUCCCUUCAGAGAAAGUCUUGGAAACAUUUUAUGACUUGAAUAUGGACGGUGUUCAACAUUGGCUCACACACUCAGCAAUACCAUGGACGCUGCAAUAAAGACUCAGAAGCCUGGCUCCUGCUGCUGGCCUUGUGGAAGCCAUCACAGUGAGCACUGAAAUCCAGAGUGAGGCUGGGGUAAACCUAACCAGUUGGAUUAGUUUCGAGAAGUUUCCAUCCAUUCCCAAGAAUGUGUGAAAACCCUUAAAUCAUUACACCAUUCAGGCAUGGAGGCAGGAUCUUCAUGCUUCUGCUGUGGUUUAUGGAUAGGCAAACCACGUACUUCUAUGAUUCUUUCCCCUUGUGACCACCAGACCAAGAUGACAGGCUAAGAGUGAACUGAACUGACAGUCUGCAAUUUCAUUCUUAAGUCAAAUUGAGUAGAGUUGAUGAGAAUAGCUGAGCUAUUAAGAAACCGUGGAAACAUAUAUGGUUUUGUUGUUGAAAAACUGUUGUUAUUCCCUCUUCCAAAUCUCUCUCUCAUUC
rnacentral:lncRNA from 1 species